rnacentral:rRNA from 1 species
AGUGAACGCUGGCGGUAGGCCUAACACAUGCAAGUCGAACGGCAGCACAGUAAGAGCUUGCUCUUACGGGUGGCGAGUGGCGGACGGGUGAGGAAUACAUCGGAAUCUACUUUGUCGUGGGGGAUAACGUAGGGAAACUUACGCUAAUACCGCAUACGACCUACGGGUGAAAGCACGGGAUCUUCGGACCUUGCGCGAUUGAAUGAGCCGAUGUCGGAUUAGCUAGUUGGCGGGGUAAAGGCCCACCAAGGCGACGAUCCGUAGCGGGUCUGAGAGGAUGAUCAGCCACACUGGAACUGAGACACGGUCCAGACUCCUACGGGAGGCAGCAGUGGGGAAUAUUGGACAAUGGGCGCAAGCCUGAUCCAGCCAUACCGCGUGGGUGAAGAAGGCCUUCGGGUUGUAAAGCCCUUUUGUUGGGAAAGAAAAGCAGCAGGUUAAUCCCCCGCUGUUCUGACGGUACCCAAAGAAUAAGCACCGGCUAACUUCGUG